GAUGUUGCCAUGGGCUCCAGGCUCCUCUGCUGGGUGGCCCUUGGUCUCCUGGGAGCAGGCCCUGCAGAUGCUGAGGUCACUCAAAGCCCCAGACACCUGGUCAAAGCAAGGAGUCAGCCAGUGACCCUGACAUGCAACUAUGAAUCCGGGCAUGAGUCUGUGUACUGGUACCAACAGGCCCUCGGGAAAAGUCUUGACUUCCUUGUUUCAUAUUACGGUGGGCAAGAGAGUCAGAAAGGCAGCCUCUCUGAUCGCUUCUCGGUCCAACAGUUCAGUGAGGACUCCAGCUCUAUGCUGAUCAUGAGCUCUGUGGAAAUGGCCGACUCUGCCCUGUACCUCUGUGCCAGCAGCUUAUCACAGCCCUGCCUGCUCAGCUUCCUCCUGCAUAAAAAUACCCCUGGCCACCCAGGAAGUGGCAGUGAAGGGGAGCCACUAGGCAGUCCCACCUGUAUGAGGACAGUCAUUCUGUGUAUGGGGAGGAUUCAAUAUUUCAGAGUCAAGCAGGAUAUGUACUGUUGCACCUGUUUUUAA